rnacentral:rRNA from 1 species
UACGUAGGGUGCAAGCGUUGUCCGGAAUCAUUGGGCGUAAAGAGCGUGUAGGCGGCUCGAUUAGUCCGCUGUAAAGUCCAGGGCUCAACCCUGGGAUGCCGGUGGAAACUGUCGGGCUAGAGUCCGGGAGAGGCGAGUGGAGUUCCUGGUGUAGCGGUGAAAUGCGCAGAUAUCAGGAGGAACACCGGUGGUGAAGGCGGGUCUCUGGGCCGUAACUGACGCUGAGGAGCGAAAGCAUGGGGAGCGAACAGG